UGCCUCAGGUGUUCCGUGUUGCUGUCAGAGUUUGGGAAACUUGCCUUUCAAAAAGGGAUACCUGUCAUUGGAUUUUAAAUGCAGCGUGGGGGCGUCCCAGCGCGCGGUUAGCUGAGGGAGCAGAGCCUAAGCUGCUGAGGGAGGAGAUUUGCACAGAGGCCUACACAGUGGCUGUUGCCGGAGAGGGAGGCCGGAUUGCUAGAACAGGUCGUUGGGAGCAGAGAACGCAGGAGCAUCAAAUUCUCGAGCAAAUUGUUGUCCAGGUGCGAACCGAGAUUUGGCCUUUUCCACCCAGAGAAAAAGGAAAGGCUCAUGGGCACACAGUGCUGGGAUCGUGGGCACACAGGAGAAAAUGCUGACAUCGUGUUGAUGAGGAUUCCAAUCUGCAUGAUAAAUACAGUUCUCACUGUAAAUGUCUGUAAACUCGAGUACUGCGGGUCCAUCCCGGAAAGGCAGAGCCUCUCUCCCCAGGAGCAUCUGAACCUGCGGAAGCCAAGGGUCAGGCCCCAAGGAGAAGCCACCUGGAAAUUCCACCCCGUGAGAUGUUACAUUCCCCUCAAACCUUUCUGAAGUAUGAUAGGUUGUAUAUUAAGGUUUUUUCCAUAGUUUGAGUCUUUUUCCUUAGAGUAGUAAUUUUUAAAACAUUUCCUUGAGCACUGACAGUGUGCCAGGCACUGUUCUAAGCCCUUUAGAAGUAACAGUGCAUUCUUUGACGGGAGUUCUGGGACCUAGGGUUGUGAACUUAAAUUUUUUUUUUUUUAAGAUUGGCACCCAAGGUAACAACUGUUGCCAAUCUUCUUUUUUAUUUUCUGCUUUUUCUCCCCAAAUCCCCCCAGUACAUAGUUGUAUGUUUUAGUUGUGGGUCCUUCUAGUUGUGGCAUGUGACAUGUCACCUCAACAUGGCACGAUGAGCGGUGCCAUGUCCGCGUCCAGGAUCUGAACCGGCAAAACCCUGGGCCACCAAAGCAGAGCACGCGAACUUAACCACUUGGCCGUGGGGCCAGCCCUGUGAACUUAAAUUUUUUUUCUCUUUUUAAAUACCAAAACACUCAAGAAAGGCUAAAAAAAAAAUCCAAAUUAGAAAAUUAUAAAAGAAAUGAGACCCUUCUCCAUCCAACUCAUCUUGCCCUCCAGAGCUAGAGCUGCUAAUAGCUCAGCGUAUGACUCCUUCCUGACUUUUCUUAGGAUUUUACAGUCAUAGCCAUAAAGUAAAAUAAAAUAUACUAUAUAUA